CGCGGGGUGGAGCAGCCCGGUAGCUCGUCAGGCUCAUAACCUGAAGGCCGCAGGUUCAAAUCCUGCCCCUGCAACCA
rnacentral:tRNA from 2 species